CGUGGGCUGCACUCGUGGCUGGAAUAUCUGCAGCCAAGGUCUUGGCUCAGAAGUGAAUGGCUCAAGCCCAGAAAAAGGCAAAAUUCCUCCAAGAUGGAAAUCAGCCCCUAGGAACCAGGCAGAAUAGAGUAAUACAUGUUUUCCUAUGCCCUGAAAUCUGGGGAGCCUCAGCAAUGCUUAAGACCCAGCAACUUGGGCUCAGCCUUUCCUGAGCGGUGUCAAGUGCCAAAGGACAAACAUCAUGCUAAAGUCAAUUUCUGCGAAAGAGGUUACUGCAUAUGAAGAGAUGGCUGAACCUUCUGACUACAUCCUGAGAGCCUCAGGCCGCAGGAUUUGGGACACAUCUAUCCUGGUGCCCACAGAAUCAAGAAGCAAGAAGUCUGGACCACAAAGGCCUCUGGCAGUGCAGCUUAUCUCCUGGUCCAGGGAAGACAGUGGUCAUCCUAGCAGCACAUCAUUGUUCAGCUGACCCUC